GACGAACGCUGGCGGCGUGCCUAACACAUGCAAGUAGAACGCUGAAGAGAGGCUCUUGCUCUUCUUGGAUGAGUUGCGAACGGGUGAGUAACGCGUAGGUAACCUGCCUUGUAGCGGGGGAUAACUAUUGGAAACGAUAGCUAAUACCGCAUAACAAUGUAUGACACAUGUUAUUUAUUUUAAAGGGGCAAUUGCUCCACUACAAGAUGGACCUGCGUUGUAUUAGCUAGUAGGUGAGGUAAUGGCCCACCUAGGCGACGAUACAUAGCCGACCUGAGAGGGUGGUCGGCCACACUGGGACUGAGACACGGCCCAGACUCCUACGGGAGGCAGCAGUAGGGAAUCUUCGGCAAUGGGGGCAACCCUGACCGAGCAACGCCGAGUGAGUGAAGAAGGUUUUCGGAUCGUAAAGCUCGGUUGUAAGUCAAGAACGGGUGUGAGAGUGGAAAGUUCACGCUGUGACGGUAGCUUAACAGAAAGGGACGGCUAACUACGUG
rnacentral:rRNA from 1 species